rnacentral:rRNA from 1 species
CCUUUACUAUAGCUUGACACUGAACAUUGAGCCUUGAUGUGUAGGAUAGGUGGGAGGCUUUGAAGUGUGGACGCCAGUCUGCAUGGAGCCGACCUUGAAAUACCACCCUUUAAUGUUUGAUGUUCUAACGUGGACCCGUAAUCCGGGUUGCGGACAGUGUCUGGUGGGUAGUUUGACUGGGGCGGUCUCCUCCUAAAGAGUAACGGAGGAGCACGAAGGUUGGCUAAUCCUGGUCGGACAUCAGGAGGUUAGUGCAAUGGCAUAAGCCAGCUUGACUGCGAGCGUGACGGCGCGAGCAGGUGCGAAAGCAGGUCAUAGUGAUCCGGUGGUUCUGAAUGGAAGGGCCAUCGCUCAACGGAUAAAAGGUACUCCGGGGAUAACAGGCUGAUACCGCCCAAGAGUUCAUAUCGACGGCGGUGUUUGGCACCUCGAUGUCGGCUCAUCACAUCCUGGGGCUGAAGUAGGUCCCAAGGGUAUGGCUGUUCGCCAUUUAAAGUGGUACGCGAGCUGGGUUUAGAACGUCGUGAGACAGUUCGGUCCCUAUCUGCCGUGGGCGCUGGAGAACUGAGGGGGGCUGCUCCUAGUACGAGAGGACCGGAGUGGACGCAUCACUGGUGUUCGGGUUGUCAUGCCAAUGGCACUGCCCGGUAGCUAAAUGCGGAAGAGAUAAGUGCUGAAAGCAUCUAAGCACGAAACUUGCCCCGAGAUGAGUUCUCCCUGAGACUUAGAGUCUCCUGAAGGA